rnacentral:rRNA from 1 species
UACGAAGGGAGCUAGCGUUGUUCGGAAUCACUGGGCGUAAAGCACACGUAGGCGGCUGUGUCAGUCAGGGGUGAAAUCCCGGAGCUCAACUUCGGAACUGCCUUUGAUACAGCACAUCUGGAGUCCGGAAGAGGUGGGUGGAAUUCCUAGUGUAGAGGUGAAAUUCGUAGAUAUUAGGAAGAACACCGGUGGCGAAGGCGGCCCACUGGUCCGGUACUGACGCUGAGGUGCGAAAGCGUGGGGAGCAAACAGG